rnacentral:rRNA from 1 species
GGUUAAGCGACUAAGCGUACACGGUGGAUGCCCUGGCAGUCAGAGGCGAUGAAGGACGUGCUAAUCUGCGAUAAGCGCCGGUAAGGUGAUAUGAACCGUUAUAACCGGCGAUUUCCGAAUGGGGAAACCCAGUGUGACUCGUCACACUAUCAU